AAUUAUAAUUUUAAGUCAAAUCUGCUCAAUGAAUAAAUUUUUAAAUAGCYGCAGUAAUUUAACUGUACAAAGGUAGCAUAAUAAUUAGUUUUUUAAUUGGAAACUAGAAUGAAUGAUUUAAUGAAAUAUAAACUUUCUAAAAUUUAUUUAAUAAAAUUUUAAUUUAAAUUAAAAUAUUUAAAUUAUUUUUAAAGACGAGAAGACCCUAAAGAAUUUUUAUAAUAAUUUUAAUUUAAUUUUGGAAUUAUUAUUUUAAUUGGGGCAAUUUUAAAAUUUAUUUAAUUUUUAUUUAAUAUUAACAAAAAUUAUUGAAAUUUAUAUAUUUAUUUUAAAAAUUAAAUUAAAUUACCUUAGGGAUAACAGCAUAAUUUUUUUAAAAAGUUCAAAUUUAUAAAAAAGUUUAU
rnacentral:rRNA from 1 species